rnacentral:rRNA from 1 species
UACGUAGGCAGCAAGCGUUGUUCGGAGUUACUGGGCGUAAAGGGUGUGUAGGCGGUUCUCUAAGUCUGGUGUGAAAUCUCCCGGCUCAACUGGGAGGGUGCGCCGAAAACUGGAGGGCUAGAGUGCGGGAUGGGAGAGUGGAAUUCCUGGUGUAGCGGUGAAAUGCGUAGAUAUCAGGAGGAACACCUGUGGUGUAGACGGCUCUCUGGACCGUAACUGACGCUGAGACACGAAAGCGUGGGUAGCAAACAGG